rnacentral:lncRNA from 10 species
GAACAGACAGGGUGGCAGUGACGCUCUGUGCCCCCGAGAGGGGGUGGGCUGGAAAGCAGAACAUGCUAUUCUGUGUGCGCCCAGGGCAGCUUCAUCCUUCUGGCUUCUCUGACCACCACCAGCCAUGCUGGGUGCAAGAGCCCCAAGGGAGGGCCCCUGUUCUUUCCCUGGGGUACCCAGAGGAUUUCCCAUACUUGCAUAGGACCUGGGGGUCAGGAGGGGGAGGAAUCAGGAAGAAGAAGCCGCCUCUGAGAGAAGGAGUGGGAGAGAGCCAGCAGCAGAGCUGUCUCCCAGCUUCUCACUUUCAGAAACACACUCGCUGCCGCAGCCUUUUAUUCUUCCUACAAAUUUGUACUGCACACUUACUGUGGGCAAGGCCAGUUCCUGCCAAGCACAAGCUUGUGCUUAGGCAGCUGUCAGUGUGGGCACGCCCUCCAUGGCUGCCUGGCCUGAGGGCAGGCUCAUUAAGCGAAUGAGGAGGGGCAGUGUCAGUUCACCGGCUGCCUCCUCCGAGGAAUCUUCCAGCCCACCCCAGCCCAAGGCUCCCUUCCUGUCCCGAGCACCAUGUCUGUCACUGUUAGCAUUAUUGCCUACAGUUACUGCCCCCCAAGUAUAACCUCCCCAGGACCCAUACCUAGGAGGGAGGGAACUACAGGCAGUGGAGGCCUCUGCUUAGAGAUGCUCUGUAAUUCUGACUGCCCCAUGCUCACCUCUGGAAAGAGAGGCAGUUCAAUUACCCAACCAAUAAUGUAGCCAUUUUCUGUCUGUUGGGCAGGUGAGACCAAUAAUACCAGCUGCCCCCAGCUCCAGUCCCCCCUCCCCUGGCUCAGCAUCUUAGCACAUUUGUUGCUUAGCAAGGGAGGGUGGUUCCCAUGACUUUCUGUUUCUUUGCUCCCCACUCACCUAGCAGCUGAUGGGGAGUGGGAGGACAGUGGUCGCCUGUCAGCUUCCCUGCUGUCUUAUGUGCACAUGGCAGGGGUGCCGUACAGCCUGGAGGCCUGGACAAAUGGAAUUCAAGGGCUGGGGAAAGAGUGGGCUGAGGCCUUACCGGUCACACCUACAGGCUGCCGAGCCUGCCAGGCAGCUUCAAUUGCAGGGUUCGGCUCCCAGAGAGAAUGGCUGCUGUUCUAUUCUACCUUGGUCCCUGGGAUGGAAACCUGAUUGGAUUGAAUCCUAGGAUAUGUCAUUUUCCCUCUGCUAGCUGCUGGUCCCAGCGUCUCCCAUACCUGAUGGUGUGAGGCUGGACCAGAGCCGGUAUCUAUGCCAGGAGAGUCUGGGGCUUGGCCUGUUUCUGGGGCACUGGGGCACUGGGGCAGGGAAUAGGUCUUGGCUGCUAGGUGAGCUACUCCUCAAUGCACCCAGGAGCUUUCCAGAUCCAUAGCCCUGAAGAGAGAAGAGAGAAGAUCUCACGGACUGUUGAUCUUUCACCUUUCCCUCUCUGCUGUCCCCAACCUGUCAUCUGUGCCACAGAACUGAGGACCUAGUUGGAGAGACAGACAGAGAAGCAGAGCCGUCUGCCACAGGGUUAGGCAACUUGUCCCUCAUCCCUUGUGGGGACCCCUCUCUGAGUAGCCUUCCUGUUAAGAAAACAAAAGAACAUGUGAGAUCACGGAGCUGCAGACUGCACCUUGGAGAUCACUGAAUCUUCUCUUCUCUUGGCCAGAGGAGGGGAUAGAAGAAAGCAGACAUGCCUGAGGCCACACAGCUGGCUGUCAUAGAAGUUACUUGGACAACACCACCCACCCCUGGGGGGUGGGGUGGUGGGAACUUGCUUGGUGAUGGCAACAAACAAACAAACACUUUCCCCUUCCCACUUCUCUUCCGGUAUUCCAGACAGGAGGAAUAAUGUACUGAUCUGCUGACAUUAAGAAGGACCCUAUUUUCAGAUUACUUCUUCAAAGGAGCAGCAUCUACAUUGGCAAGGUGAUUACAACCCAAGCACACAGCUGAUUUGGAAGACUUGAGUCCCAAAAGAUGACUUUUUUUUUUCCUCCUCCUCUGCAGGAUGCUUUAGCUUGAAACAUCUGGGUAACUGCUUAACACCUUCCUAUUUUGCAGAACAUUCCCAGCAUCGGGGCCGUUUGCAUCUUUCUGGGCUAGUAUUUUUCAGGAUUAUUUAGAACCAAGGACCUCAUGCACUGGGGGAGGUCCUGCUCCUCUCUGCCCACCCCGUUUCUCAUGCCCCCACUUCCACCUCCAACACUCCCUCAAGGGCAGAGGCGCUCAUCUUCCACUGUAUGUCCGCAGGGUUAAAACCUGCCAUGUUGCCUGUCUCCCAGGACAUGGCUCCUUCAGGGAUUUCUUUCUUUUUUUUUUUUGUUUUUUUGUUUUUUU